rnacentral:rRNA from 1 species
UGCAGUCGUACGAGAGUUUUUACUCAAGUGGCGGACGGGUGAGUAACACGUAAGAAUUUGCCUUUAGGAGGGGGACAACAACUGGAAACGGUUGCUAAUACCCCAUAUGCUUUCGAGUGAAACGGUUUUUCCGCCUAAAGAGAAGCUUGCGGCUGAUUAGCUUGUUGGUAAGGUAAUGGCUUACCAAGGCGACGAUCAGUAUCUGGUUUGAGAGGACGAUCAGCCACACUGGGACUGAGACACGGCCCAGACUCCUACGGGAGGCAGCAGUGGGGAAUUUUCCGCAAUGGGCGAAAGCCUGACGGAGCAAGACCGCGUGAGGGAGGAAGGCUCUUGGGUUGUAAACCUCUUUUCUCAGGGAAGAAGAUCUGACGGUACCUGAGGAAUCAGCCUCGGCUAACUCCGUGCCAGCAGCCGCGGUAAUACG